rnacentral:rRNA from 1 species
GACAGAGGGUGCAAACGUUGUUCGGAAUUACUGGGCGUAAAGCGCGUGUAGGCGGCCAUCUAAGUCGGGCGUGAAAUCCCACGGCUCAACCGUGGAAGUGCACUCGAAACUGGAUGGCUAGAGUCCUGGAGAGGAAGGUGGAAUGCUUGGUGUAGAGGUGGAAUUCGUAGAUAUCAAGCGGAACACCGGUGGCGAAGGCGGCAUCCUGGACCGACAUUGACGCUGAGGCGCGAAAGCCAGGGGAGCAAACAGG